rnacentral:lncRNA from 1 species
CGCCCUAGGAGAACGCGGGGACAGAACUCUUGCUGCAGAGUUUCGAGCGCCGCUUCCUGGCGGCGCGCUCACUGCGCUCCUUCCCCUGGCAGAGCUUAGAAGCAAAGUUAAGAGACUCAUCAGAUUCUGAGCUGCGGCGGGAUAUUUUGCAGAAGCCCUCGGGAGGCUCGGUCACACUCUCCAAGAGCACAGCCAUCAUCUCCCACGGCACCACAGGCCUGGUCACAUGGGACGCUGCCCUCUACCUUGCAGAAUGGGCCGAGAACCCAGCAGCCUUCACUCACAGGUGACCUCGGGGCGCAGGGCAGGGCACCGAGGCAGGCUUACCCUGGUGCAGUCACAGACACGGUCCCCUUUCCUCCCACCAGGACUGUCCUAAAGCUUGGCAGUGGCGCCGGCCUCACAGGCCUGGCCAUCUGCAAGAUGUGCCGCCCCCGGGCGUACAUCUUCAGCGACUGUCACAGCCGGGUCCUCGAGCAGCUCCGAGGGAAUGUCCUUCUCAAUGGCCUCUCAUUAGAGGCAGACAUCACUGCCAACUUAGACGGCCCCAGGGUGACAGUGGCCCAGCUGGACUGGGACGUCGCGACGGUCUGUCAGCUCUCUGCCGUCCAGCCAGAUGUUGUCAUUGCAGCAGGUAAUGCCCAGCCCCGGGCAUCCUGUGCAGGCGGUGUCCUUGCAGCUCUACCCAGCUCUUGGCUCUGGGAAAAGGGAACAAUGGAUGCUGUCAGGCAUGGACAUGAUGGGGCUUCCAGAAGAGUUACUCUGGGCCUCCAGGCUGACAUCAAAGGACAGGGGUGCCUCUUAAGGUGACCUUCAAGCCACAGCCCUCUUGCUGGAGACAGGCAUACUCCCGUUCCAGUUGUCACCACAUGGCUCUGUCCCAGAGCCAUGCCCUGUGUCCUUCAGAGACCACCGGAGGAAAACAACCACUUCUGGGAUGAGGACAGGGCACUUGAGAGAAGGUGGUGUUUGGCUGGGCCACCGAAAACCCCUCGCCCCUGCCAGCACACUCAGUCCCCUCUCUGAUGGAACAGAGCUCUGCCUGUGGUCCUGGGUCCCAGCCCUGAAAACCACAGGUCCAGCGGUGGCCAGGGACACAGGCCCACCCCUGCAAGCCAGCAGACAAAUCAGCGGAUACCUGAAACACGAAGUUCAUGGCAGAUUCAGGCUUUGUGUCAUUCAAAGCCCUCUAGAUAGGCCGAAAACCAGAGCUGGUUUUUUAAGGAACACCAGCCAGGCCAGGAUCAGAUGGGAAGUGGAAGCUUGUCAUGACCAGAAACUGUUUCCCUACAAAGAGCACUUGGAGAUGGCAAUGCUGAACCUAAUACUGUAGGACUCACACGCGACUUCAACGGGAUUGUGAGGAUCAAGUCACUCUCAUGGGAAGAAUUUUUACAUGGGAAAGCGGAUAAAACUUUCAUUGGACUGGAAUGUUUGGAGAAUAUUAAUUUCCAAAUCAGGAACCACAAACUGCCCUCUAAUAAGACAUCGGCUAUCUAAGCGUGUGGGUGCCCCCUUUCUGCCAGCAGUUCUGGUUCUUAAGAAAAUCACCAUAAAUCAGACAUGAAAAUUCUGGCUCUAAAAAUAGCAUUUUCUUUGUGCAAAUAAAAACGUGUGUAUCAAGUAUGAUGUUCCCCCAACGUGGACACACCCGGUUCCUCACAAAGCCAAGCCCGCUGCAGCUGCCACAUCCCUGGGCUUACUGUGCAGCAGGUGCUUUUUUCAAGACAGGAAUCAAAAUAUUAGGAACACGGCAGAAAGGCGACACCUGGAGACCAAACGCAGGAUGAGGAGUACUGCAGAGGUCACAGGGAAGUCACAGAACAGUAGUACGCUAGCAGGGGCAUGGGGCGUGAAGAACAGAAGAAGAGAGGAAGUGUUUCCAAGCCUCCAAAAAAGAAAUCAGAGCCAACCACAGCUUCCCGGGUCACAGAAGCAAUUCACUCACCAGGCGGCACCACUGCCGUCAUUUCAGCUUCUGGCCACUGGGAGGCGCUGCUUGAAAGGGUUUGCCCUGAGACUCCAAGAAGAAGCUGCGGGAAGGACAGCAGGGGCCCUGGGGUUUUAGCCUCUGGCCCAGGAGUUAUGUGUCCAUAACCAAAGGGAGCACAGUCUGCACCCAGCUCUCAUCCCAUCGGAGCUGCUGCGACUCCCGCAGGUUCUUCCGGAACAGGUUUAGCUUGCCUGCAGGAUCAGGAAAGUUUGAGAAAAGCAUCUGCAUAAUACUAAAGAGCAGAGCUUACCUCAUUGCCUGUCCCCACCGCAUCCCAGGUCACCACCUGGCUGACCCCAGGUGCCCGACCCAACAACAACCCCUACCAAGUUCUUAACUCCCUCACUUGGACUCGAGACUCUUCACGCCCCAGCAGCGCUCCGCCUCCAACUUGACAUCACGCUUUCUGGGAACUUCCCCGCAUGUCCCACUUUCCCACACUUGGUGUCCUGGGGCACCUCCCGGCCUCUUCAUGCUGUAUGCUCCCCUGCGAGCACCCUCCUCUUGGCCUCUGGCCAAGUCCCACCCAUCUGUGGGUAACAAGGGGGUGUCGGUGUUCUUUUCAGCCUUGCUAAACUGUCUGAAUCAAGGAUCACAAACUACAGCCUGCAGGCCAAAUCCAGCCCACAGCCUGUGUUUGUAAAUAAAGAUUUAUUGGAACAAAGCCACACCCCUUAAUCUACAGAUGAUCUGUGGCUACUUUCACACCCCAACAGAGUACCAUGGUUCUGACAGAGACUAGGGGACCCAGUCUAAAUGACUUCCGACUUGGACCUUUACUGAAAAUCCUGCCAGUCAUUCUGUUGGCAAGAACGAUGUAUUACUUUUUGCAAUAAGAAACAAGUAACAUUU